rnacentral:rRNA from 1 species
GUUAUAUGGUCAAGUGAAGAAGCGCAUACGGUGGAUGCCUUGGCAGUCAGAGGCGAUGAAAGACGUGGUAGCCUGCGAAAAGCUUCGGGGAGUCGGCAAACAGACUUUGAUCCGGAGAUCUCUGAAUGGGGGAACCCAACCAGCACAAGCUGGUUAUCUUGCACUGAAUACAUAGGUGCAAGAAGCGAACCAGGGGAACUGAAACAUCUAAGUACCCUGAGGAAAAGAAAUCAACCGAGAUUCCCUUAGUAGUGGCGAGCGAACGGGGACUAGCCCUUAAGCUUCUUUGAUUUUAGCGGAACGCUCUGGAAAGUGCGGCCAUAGUGGGUGAUAGCCCUGUACGCGAAAGGAUCUUAGAAGUGAAAUCGAGUAGGACGGAGCACGAGAAACUUUGUCUGAAUAUGGGGGGACCAUCCUCCAAGGCUAAAUACUACUGACUGACCGAUAGUGAACCAGUACCGUGAGGGAAAGGCGAAAAGAACCCCGGAGAGGGGAGUGAAAUAGAUCCUGAAACCGUAUGCGUACAAGCAGUGGGAGCCCACUUUGUUGGGUGACUGCGUACCUUUUGUAUAAUGGGUCAGCGACUUAUUUUCAGUGGCGAGCUUAACCGAAUAGGGGAGGCGUAGCGAAAGCGAGUCUUAAUAGGGCGUCUAGUCGCUGGGAAUAGACCCGAAACCGGGCGAUCUAUCCAUGGGCAGGUUGAAGGUUAGGUAACACUGACUGGAGGACCGAACCGACUACCGUUGAAAAGUUAGCGGAUGACCUGUGGAUCGGAGUGAAAGGCUAAUCAAGCUCGGAGAUAGCUGGUUCUCCUCGAAAGCUAUUUAGGUAGCGCCUCAUGUAUCACUGUAGGGGGUAGAGCACUGUUUCGGCUAGGGGGUCAUCCCGACUUACCAAACCGAUGCAAACUCCGAAUACCUACAAGUGCCGAGCAUGGGAGACACACGGCGGGUGCUAACGUCCGUCGUGAAAAGGGAAACAACCCAGACCGUCAGCUAAGGUCCCAAAGUUAUGGUUAAGUGGGAAACGAUGUGGGAAGGCUUAGACAGCUAGGAGGUUGGCUUAGAAGCAGCCACCCUUUAAAGAAAGCGUAAUAGCUCACUAGUCGAGUCGGCCUGCGCGGAAGAUGUAACGGGGCUCAAACCAUACACCGAAGCUACGGGUAUCACGUAAGUGAUGCGGUAGAGGAGCGUUCUGUAAGCCUGUGAAGGUGAGUUGAGAAGCUUGCUGGAGGUAUCAGAAGUGCGAAUGCUGACAUGAGUAACGACAAUGGGUGUGAAAAACACCCACGCCGAAAGACCAAGGUUUCCUGCGCAACGUUAAUCGACGCAGGGUUAGUCGGUCCCUAAGGCGAGGCUGAAAAGCGUAGUCGAUGGAAAACAGGUUAAUAUUCCUGUACUUCUGGUUAUUGCGAUGGAGGGACGGAGAAGGCUAGGCCAGCUUGGCGUUGGUUGUCCAAGUUUAAGGUGGUAGGCUGAAAUCUUAGGUAAAUCCGGGGUUUCAAGGCCGAGAGCUGAUGACGAGUUACCCUCUGGGUGACGAAGUGGUUGAUGCCAUGCUUCCAAGAAAAGCUUCUAAGCUUCAGAUAACCAGGAACCGUACCCCAAACCGACACAGGUGGUUGGGUAGAGAAUACCAAGGCGCUUGAGAGAACUCGGGUGAAGGAACUAGGCAAAAUGGCACCGUAACUUCGGGAGAAGGUGCGCCGGUGAGGGUCAAGCACUUGCUGCGUAAGCCCACGCCGGUCGAAGAUACCAGGCCGCUGCGACUGUUUAUUAAAAACACAGCACUCUGCAAACACGAAAGUGGACGUAUAGGGUGUGACGCCUGCCCGGUGCCGGAAGGUUAAUUGAUGGGGUUAGCUAACGCGAAGCUCUUGAUCGAAGCCCCGGUAAACGGCGGCCGUAACUAUAACGGUCCUAAGGUAGCGAAAUUCCUUGUCGGGU